rnacentral:rRNA from 1 species
UACGUAGGCAGCAAGCGUUGUUCGGAAUUACUGGGCGUAAAGAGUGUGUAGGCGGUGCUCCAAGUCUGGUGUGAAAUCUCCCGGCUCAACUGGGGAGGGUGCGCUAGAAACUGGAAUGCUAGAGGAUGGGAGAGGUAAGCGGAAUUCCUGGUGUAGCGGUGAAAUGCGCAGAUAUCAGGAAGAACACCUAUGGCGAAGGCAGCUCUCUGGGACGGUACUGACGCUGAGACGCGAAAGCGUGGGGAGCGAACAGG